AGAGGUUUCCACAACAACCAGUGAGACUCCCACAACAACCACAGCAGCCGCAACAUCAACCACAUCUGCUCCCACAUCUAACACAGAGGUUGCAACAGGAAACAUGGAGUCUGCCGCAACUUCCACACUGGCUUCACAAACAACCAAAGCCUCUCUGAAUACAACCAAAUAUUCUGCACCAUCAUCCACAUCUGCUGGCACAUCAAAGACAGAGGUUCCCUCAGCAACCACAUCCCAACCAAAAACAACUAAUGAAGCUGUAAUGACAUCCUCAUCUUCUGCCACAUCAAACACAGGUGUUGCAACAACAACUGAAUCUGCUACAACAAACACAGAGCCUGCAACAACAACCAACGCCGGUCCCACAUUAACGCCAUCAGUGUCAGAAACAACAUCCACAAGGGUUGAAUCAUCAUCCACAUCUGCUGCCACAACAAUCACAGAGUCUGCCUCAACCCACAAAGUGACUGCCACAAUUACCACAGCUGCGCUCACAGCAUUGAAAACUGCUACCAAAAAUACCAUAACAGUUGGUAAAACAAACACAUCUGAUUCUAUAACUGCCACAGCUGCUCACACAAUAUCAACUGUGGCUGGCCCAAUAACCACUGCUACCAGAAAAACCACUGCUUCUGCCAUAACAAACAAAGAGGCUGCCACAGUAACUAAAUCUGCACUCACAACAAUGACAGCUGCCACCACAAAUUCUACAACUGCUGGCAAAACAAUCACAUCUCCAGCUACAACUACCACAGCUGCUCACACAAUAUCCACUGUGGCUAGCACAGCAACCACUGCUACCAGAAUAAACACUGCUGCAGCCACAACAAACAAAGGGACUGCCACAAUUACCACAUCUGCACUCACAGCAAUGAAAGUUGCCACCACAAAUACCAUAACAGUUGGCAAAACAAACACAUCUGCUUCCAUAACUGCCACAGCUGCUCACACAAUAUCAACUGUGGCUGGCCCAGCAACCACUGCUACCAGAAAAACCACUGCUUCUGCCAUAACAAACAAAGAGGUUCCCACAAUUACCACACCUGUGCUCAAAACAAUGGCAGCUGCAACCACAAAUUCCACAACUGCUGGUAUAACAAUAACAUCUCCAGCCACAAAUACCACAGCUGCUCACACAAUAUCCACAGUGUCUGGCACAGCAACCACUGCUACCAGAAGAACCACUGCUUCUGCCACAACAAACAAAGAGGCUGCCACAGUAACUAAAUCUGCACUCACAACAAUGACAGCUGCCACCACAAAUUCUACAACUGCUGGCAAAACAAUCACAUCUCCAGCCACAACUACCACAGCUGCUCACACAAUAUCCACAGUGGCUAGCACAGCAACCACUGCUAACAGAAUAAACACUGCUGCUGCCACAACAAACAAAGGGACCGCCACAAUUACCACAUCUGCACUCAAAACAAUGAAAGUUGCCAUCACAAAUACCAUAACAGUUGGCAAAACAAACACAUCUGCUUCCAUAACUGCCACAGCUGCUCACACAAUAUCAACUGUGGCUGGCCCAGCAACCACUGCUACCAGAAAAACCACUGCUUCUGCCAUAACAAACAAAGAGGUUCCCACAAUUACCACACCUGUGCUCACAACAAUGACAGCUGCCACCACAAAUUCUACAACUGCUGGCAAAACAAUCACAUCUCCAGCCACAACUUCCACAGCUGCUCACACAAUAUCCACAGUGGCUAGCACAGCAACCACUGCUACCAGAAUAAACACUGCUGCUGCCACAACAAACAAAGGGACUGCCACAAUUACCACAUCUGCACUCACAGCAAUGAAAGUUUCCAACACAAAUACCAUAACAGUUGGCAAAACAAACACAUCUGCUUCCAUAACUGCCACAGCUGCUCACACUAUAUCAACUGUGGCUGGCCCAGAAACCACUGCUACCAGAAAAAACACUGCUUCUGCCAUAACAAACAAAGAGGUUCCCACAAUUACCACACCUGUGCUCAAAACAAUGGCAGCUGCAACCACAAAUUCCACAACUGUUGGUAUAACAAUAACAUCUCCAGCCACAAAUACCACAGCUGCUCACACAAUAUCCACAGUGUCUGGCACAGCAACCACUGCUACCAGAAGAACCACUGCUUCUGCCACAACAAACAAAGAGGCUGCCACAGUAACUAAAUCUGCACUCACAACAAUGACAGCUGCCACCACAAAUUCUACAACUACUGGCAAAACAAUCACAUCUCCAGCCACAACCACCACAGCUGCUCACACAAUAUCCACAGUGGCUAGCACAGCAACCACUGCUACCAGAAUAAACACUGCUGCAGCCACAACAAACAAAGGGACUGCCACAAUUACCACAUCUGCACUCACAGCAAUGAAAGUUGCCACCACAAAUACCAUAACAGUUGGCAAAACAAACACAUCUGCUUCCAUAACUGCCACAGCUGCUCACACAAUAUCAACUGUGGCUGGCCCAGAAACCACUGCUACCAGAAAAACCACUGCUUCUGCCAUAACAAACAAAGAGGUUCCCACAACGGCUGGGAAAACAACCACAGCUGCUGCUACAAAUAUUUUUGCUCCGUCCACUGCAUCCACUGACCCUCCAACUGCAAAUGAAGGUGUUCUGAUUCUAAAGCUGCGACUGGAUCGUCUGUAUUUGGAAGACUAUAAUAAUCCACUGUCCCAGAACUAUAUCACUUUGGCUUUAAACGUCACAACUGAGUUGAAUCUAGGAUACAAAGAAAUAUUUCCAUUCAUCUUCCUUAGAUGCAUCAUCAUCAGUUUCUGGUCUGGUUCUGUGGGCGUGACAACAAACUUGAUCUUCACAAACCAGUCAGUGGUCCCUAACGUUACAAAUGUAUUGGAUUCCCUUAUCAAGGCCAUCAGCAUUUCUGAAGUCUACUUGGACGUUAUUCCUGGCAGUAUCAUCGUGGAGCUCCCAAAUUCCACAAUUACUGCUGUGACUACUGCAACUAUGACAACAGUAACGACAGCAGCAACCACACAAACUCCUUUGGCUGCAACAACUUUCAGCAGCACAAUGACAAGAAACAGGCCUCAAGUGAUAACUUUGCUAGUUCUUUUAAUUCUGGUCUAUUUUCUUCUAACAGAAGGCUGUAGGUCUUAAAACUAUUAACUACACACAGUUUGCAUAAAGGAAAAUAUCCUAAUAUAUACUUUACCUUCAGCUAUUUGAAGAUUAAUAGAUAUUAACAAAACACUAUUUGAUCACUUAUUGGAAAAUGCUUUAUAAUGAACGCUUUGAUAAAUUAAUUGCUUAUAGUUAUGAUUAUGUACAAGUAUGUCUAAUGUAAUUAAACAAACUUUAA